rnacentral:rRNA from 1 species
GUGUCAGCCGCCGCGGUAAUACGUAUGUCCCGAGCGUUAUCCGGAUUUAUUGGGCGUAAAGCGAGCGCAGGCGGUUUUUUAAGUCUGAUGUGAAAGCCUUCGGCUCAACCGAAGAAGUGCAUCGGAAACUGGGAAACUUGAGUGCAGAAGAGGACAGUGGAACUCCAUGUGUAGCGGUGAAAUGCGUAGAUAUAUGGAAGAACACCAGUGGCGAAGGCGGCUGUCUGGUCUGUAACUGACACUGAGGCUCGAAAGCGUGGGGAGCAAACAGGAUUAGAUACCCUGGUAGUCCACGCCGUAAACGAUGAGUGCUAAGUGUUGGAGGGUUUCCGCCCUUCAGUGCUGCAGCUAACGCAUUAAGCACUCCGCCUGGGGAGUACGGCCGCAAGGCUGAAACUCAAAUAAAUUGGCGG